rnacentral:rRNA from 1 species
UCAAACCUAUUUAUAACGGCGGCAUUUCUUCUUAUUAGAGGAACCUGUUUUAUAAUCGACAAUCCACGUUAAAUUUCACUUAAAUUUACAAUUUAUAUACCGCCAUCUAAAAAAUUAAUUUUAAAAUAAUAUUUUCAAUAAGUAAUAAAUAAAAAGUUAGGUCAAGGUGUAGUCCAUAUUUCAGAAAACAAUGGGUUACAUUAAAAAAUAUUUAAGAAUAUUUUUAUAAAAAUAAUUAUUGAAAAAGGAUUUAAAAGUAAUAACAAAAUAUUAUUUUGUUAUG